rnacentral:sRNA from 1 species
CCACUGGCUAGAACGACGGUUCGAAAAGCACGUUUCCAUGUUCAACGUGCCUGCCAGUUUCUUUUUUUUGAACA